rnacentral:lncRNA from 8 species
UAGUAUUGAUUCUCCGUUGCCAUGGCUGUCUGUUUGGAAGAAAGCAAGCCAAACAUUUACCAACCACCCAGCUAAUCUGUCCCAUGCUCAAGGAAAAAGAUUAUCUAACGGCUGUUUGUGCCAGAAGUGCAGUUUCAUUCACAAAGAAAACACAUAUUGAUGAAAUCAGUAAACAUAGUUGUUGGUCGGUGAUAACGUCACUGUUCGAAGGUUUUUAUUCACUCUCAUGACUCCCAUGAUUAGGUUUUGCUUGCUCAGGGACCAAAUAGGCCGGAAUCGAUCUCAGUGCAUACAGACAUACAGUAUUUCUCGUAAACCCCUACGCAGUUGUUUGUGUUCUAACGGUCAGCUGUACAUGUGUGUGUUGUGGUGGGGGGGGGGGGGGCACUGUUGUCAUGGUAACAUAAAGAGACGAGGUCAGCCAAAAAAUGACUUGGGAUCAAAAGGACUCCCCCUCCCCUCCACCGGUUUCUAAACUGGUCACUUCCACAAUACCUAAUGCUUCUGUCCCAUUGUGUCCAUUCAACUCCUCUUCCACCCCCUGGAGCCUCUCAGAGUGGUGUGCUGUGCUAAUCUAAUCCCAGGCUCUCAGGGCCUACUGUUUGGUGUGGGAUUUACCUUAUUAAUUGAGGGUCUUUCAAGGCAAUGUGUCAGUCAACGCCACUCUGGCCCUUCAAACAAUCCCUAACUGUCAUUCCAGUAAGGAUAAUAGUGAUGGAGAGGGAGAGGGAGACAAUGGGGGCUGGAAGGGGUUUUGACUUUUAAUUGAACCUAGAUGACAUGACUGUGCCUUGUUUGCUGAGUGAGGGAGAAUGAAGCUAAAUGAAGGGGAGGGGUUAAAGCUCCCUCACGACGCCAGGACAGCGGAGUCAAUCACCACCUUCCGGAGACACCUGAAACCCCACCUCUUCAAGGAAUACCUGGGAUAGGAUAAAGUAAUCCUUCUAACCCCCCCCUUAAAAGAUUUAGAUGCACUAUUGUAAAGUGGUUGUUCCACUGGAUAUUAUAAGGUGAAUGCACCAAUUUGUAAGUCGCUCUGGAUAAGAGCGUCUGCUAAAUGACUUAAAUGUAAAUGUAAAUGUAAAGUCAGCCAACAGACACACAGUGUCACUCCCACUGAGUGGGACACAGAUAAAGGCCCCUUUUAAACUACAAAACAUUCACAAGAGUUAUCAAAAGAAAUACCCAUGGAUAUGCAUAAAGAUAUAGAAGGAGUAGAAUUGCCAUGUUGAAUAGACAGCCAUAUAGCUACUGUAAUUAUUAUAUUUCUAUGGGGACAGACAUGUGGGGAGAGAGAGCAGAGUAGACACAGUCUCUGUGUACUGGAGAUAAAGAGUCACAUCUGGACCAAGGCUCUUCCCCAGACAGACGGACUGACAAGGUCCCAUUCAAAUAAUGCCUCAUUCACUCCCUGCCUACAAGUUUCAACAUGCUCCCCCACGUGUGUGUGUGUGUGUGUGUGUGUGUGUGUGUGUGUGUGUGUGUGUGUGUGUGUGUGUGUGUGUGUGUGUAUACAGGCACAUGAAUUGGUGAGACAGACAUUAGAAACAGUAAUUGGACAAAAAAAGCCAGGCAUACUGAUGAGAGACAAGGUGAGAAAACCAAGGCAGGGAUGCAUGGAAAACACCCGUGCA